UGCAGUGCCCUGGACCGCUGCGCCACUCGGGAGCCAACUGUUACAGCUCAUUUUUAAAAGUAUUUAGCCAUUGAGAAAGUACCUCUCUUUUCUUUGUUCUUUCUCGGUAUCUGAAAGUGUAAGUGGCCCCCGGCUUUUGGAAUAUAUUGCGUCGAAGUCUCACUUCUCGGUCUUGUAUCCGUACCACCAGCUUGCUCGGAAGAAUGCUCGCCAUCUUCAGUUGGUGUAGUCUCGGAGGGUAACGUUGUGUAAUAUUUCACUGAGCUGCAUUUCGAUGCAGGGAUGUUGUCACCACUGUGGCUCUCCAUCUGAGAUAAACAAUUUGUCAACAAACGUAACCAAAACGUAGGUAUAUUUCUGCGUUUCAAACUCUUAAAAUAGUUACCCCUCUCCCCUCAAAUUAAGUGGACACUUCUGACGUGUUGACACUUGCAGGACGAGGGAAGAAUGAAUUCAUUUUAAACGGUCCGCUAAUACCCGGAAAGUUUCACUCGUUCAUCCCGCAGUUGUGUUUUGAGUCAUCAUGAAACUGGUGUGUGCCUUAUAUGGCUACAGUCAAUAAUGAUUGCAUUUCAUAUCUUGGCUUGAAGACAACGCAUCCACAGACAUCGAAUGUUAGCCAUUCUACCAUAUCAGGUCACAUGGUCAGGAAAACCCUCAUCCCCUACAUAUGAUCAUAACGGAUGGUCUUACCCAGUCCACUAGGAUGUGUCCCACAUGUUCUGUGGAGCCGUCUGGUUUCCUGGCCUCUCGCAGUCGACUCAGCAGAUCUGAAUACGGAAUGAGAGAUUCCAGGGUUCCGAAGAUCUGGUUGAGCUCAUGUUCUGUCAUGAUGGACAGUUUCAGCAUUGGGUCAUGGUACGCCUACAGGUACAGAGAAAGUAGAAUGUUAAGUUGGAGUCACAGCAAUGCAACCCAACACUACUUUUCUCACUUGUUACAUUAAAACAAGUUUUAGAAGCACUAAAACCUGAAUCAAGUGUGAGCCCUGAAGAUUAAAAACCCUUGGUAUUUUUCAAAUGUAGACAUCCAUGUCAUAAGCUACGAAUAAACAAGUGUUUGAUACGCUACUUGAUCAUAGCUCAGACGUAAUAUAAAACACAUCCAAUAUUAGUGGGGGAAAAAAAAAAAACUUUAUCCCCUCGACAAAACAGCACUAAAAAAAAGACAACAGACGUCAAAUGGGGCUGGCAGGUAGCCUAGUGGUUAGAGCGUUGGACUAGUAACCGAAAGGUUGCAAGAUUGAAUCCCCACGCUGACAAGGUAAAAAUCUGUCGUUCUGCCCCUGAACAAUGCAGUUAACCCACUGUUCCUAGGCCGUCAUUGAAAAUAAGAAUUUGUUCUUAACUGACUUGCCUAGUUAAAUAAAGGUUUAAUAAAAAUGGGACAUCUCCAUCAGAUAUAAAAUAAAUUUUCCCAACAGUAUUAGACUUAUAAAUAGACCAAACAUCUGUUGGCAUAUUGUUAUACAUCUACUGUAAUGGUCAAACACACACACACACACACACACACACACACACACACACACACACACACACACACACACACACAGGGAUCUCAAGUGUGUGAUUGUCGGAGCGCAGGAGAAACUGGAGCCUGGCUGAUCAGCAGGGUAGAAUAACUCAGCUGUGACACUCAACAAAAAAGGAAAUGAUCUUUAUUGGAAAAGCAGAUUGUACCUUCUUGGCCAGCUUCAGAUCCUCAACGAGAUCCUUCUCCCCUCGAGAAAGCUCAAAGAUCGCCUGCAAAACACACAGAGAAAGACAGAAGAUAGACAAAGAGAGAACGGUGAAACAAGGGUCUCCACGUAGACAAACAUCUCAGUGCGAAACAACAAUUCAUGCAUCACCAUCAAAAGAUUGCAUGUUUUAUUUUUAAAAUAUUUUUCUAGAAAAAGGAGUCGAUAUGAAGUAUGCGCGUUUCACAACAGUGACAGACUAAUCUAAAGCGCUAAACGUGUCACCGCUCUAAAGCCACAAGACUUCUGUUGCACAGAAGAAAACACAGGACCCCCACUGACCCCUGAAUACUUCCCAAUGCACAGAUGGAUUAUUUUCUAAAACACCCUAUUCCAUUUUCACUGUCCUUUGAUGUCUUCUCUGUGUGGCCUGAGAGGUGGAGUCCCAGUUUGAAUGGAAGGUGGUGGGGCAUGUUGUUUCAGACAGGCCUGACUAAUUUGAACUGUGAAAACUGAAUUAUAUAGCAUUUGAUCCUCUAGUCUAGAGUCUCCCCUCUGACUAUGCUCUGCCCUGGUAGAGUGGUGAACCAGGCGGAGAAUAAAUGGAGCCCCUUCACCCACUCCUGCUGCUCCUCUUUACAGUAACUGUCCAGUGAAAACAGAAUACUAACUUUUUUUUUAAAGUGAGGUUAACUCGUACCCAAAUAAAUUGUAUUGACUCAUCCUAUACUCGUAUGUGGCCAAAGCAUAAAUUGAAGAGAAACACAAAAAAAAUAAAAAAAAAUAUAUAUAAAACUUGUAUCUCAAACAGACCAUUUAAAAAUUGCUUCCUAUUACCUCAGAGGAUGAUUUUGGUAUGUUAUUAGGAUCCCCAUUAGCUGUUGCAAAAGUAGCAGCUAGUCUUCCUGAGGUCCACACAAAACAUGACAUAAUACAGAACAUUAAUAGACAAGAACAGCUCAAGGACAGAACUACAUUAAUAAACUUUCAAAAAAGGCACACGUAGCCUACGUAUCAAUACCAAUAGAAACAAAAUAUCUAGGUCAAAUAGGCGUUGUGCCGUGAGGUGUUGCUUUAUCUGUUUUUGAAACCAGGUUCUGUUUAUUUGAGCAAUUUGAGAUGGAACGGAGUUCCAUGAAAUAAUGGCACUAUAUAACUGUAUGCCUUCUUGAAAUUGUUCUGGAUUUGGAGACUGUGAAAAGACCCCUGGUGGCAUGUCUAGUGCAGUCAGUGUGUGUCAGCUCUGUGCAUGUUGACUAUGCAAACAAUUUGGGAUUUUCAACACAUUGUUUCUUAUAAAAAGAAGUGAUGCAGCCAGUCUCUCCUCAAGUCUUAGCCAAGAGAGACGGGCAUGAAUACUAUUUAUAUCAGCCCUGUGAUUACAAUGAAGAGCAAGACGUGCCGCUCUGUUCUGGGCCAGCUGCAACUUAACCAGGUAUUUCCUUGCAGCACUCAACCACACGACUGGACAAUAAUCAAGAUAAGACAAAACUAGAGCCUGUAGGACUUGCUUUUUGGAGUGUGGUGUUAAAGCAGAGCAUCUCUUUAUUACGGACAGACCUCUUCCCAU